rnacentral:rRNA from 1 species
AGUAACGCGUGAGGAACCUGCCUCAAAGAGGGGACAACAGUUGGAAACGACUGCUAAUACCGCAUAAGCCCACGGCUCGGCAUCGAGCAGAGGGAAAAGGAGCAAUCCGCUUUGAGAUGGCCUCGCGUCCGAUUAGCUAGUUGGUGAGGUAAUGGCCCACCAAGGCGACGAUCGGUAGCCGGACUGAGAGGUUGAACGGCCACAUUGGGACUGAGACACGGCCCAG